AGCGAACGCUGGCGGCAGGCUUAACACAUGCAAGUCGAACGGGCUUCUUCGGAAGUCAGUGGCAGACGGGUGAGUAACACGUGGGAACGUGCCCUUCGGUUCGGAAUAACUCAGGGAAACUUGAGCUAAUACCGGAUACGCCCUUUUGGGGAAAGGUUUACUGCCGAAGGAUCGGCCCGCGUCUGAUUAGCUUGUUGGUGGGGUAACGGCCUACCAAGGCGACGAUCAGUAGCUGGUCUGAGAGGAUGAUCAGCCACACUGGGACUGAGACACGGCCCAGACUCCUACGGGAGGCAGCAGUGGGGAAUAUUGGAAAAUGGGCGCAAGCCUGAUCCAGCCAUGCCGCGUGAGUGAUGAAGGCCUUAGGGUUGUAAAGCUCUUUUGUCCGGGACGAUAAUGACGGUACCGGAAGAAUAAGCCCCGGCUAACUUCGUG
rnacentral:rRNA from 1 species